rnacentral:rRNA from 1 species
CAACCCGUCUCUGUUGCAAAAGAGUGGGAAGAUUUUUAAGUAGGGGUGACAAGCCUAUCGAACUUAGAGAUAGCUGGUUGUUCAGGAAAAGAGUCUAAGCUCUACCUUAAGUUUUUUUAUUAAUUCAAACAAACCUUUUGACUUAAGAGCUAUUCAAGUAAGGCACAACUUACUUGAAACAGGAUACAACCUCCUUUAUUGGGUAACCAAAAAUAAACUAAACAAAGUGGGCCUAAAAGCAGCCAUCUCAUAAAAAGCGUUAAAGCUUAACUUCCUCACAUAUUUAAUUCCUUUAAUUUUGAUUAACCCCUCACCACUACUGAACCAUUUUAUAAUUCUAUAAAAAUUAUUAUGCUAGAACUAGUAACAAGAAAUUGCCUUUCUCCUAAAUGUAAGCUUACACCACAGCGGACUAUCCACUGGUAUUUAACGCAACUGUCUUUAUUAUAGCAACACUCAACCAGAAAACCCUAUAAUCACCAACGUUAACCUCACACUAGAACAUUUUAGGAAAGAUUAAAAGAAAGAGAAGGAACUCGGCAAACCUUAGCCCCGCCUGUUUACCAAAAACAUCGCCUCUUGCCUAAUAUAAGAGGUCCAGCCUGCCCAGUGACAUAGUUCAACGGCCGCGGUACCCUAACCGUGCGAAGGUAGCAUAAUCACUUGUUCCUUAAAUAGGGACUAGUAUCAACGGCAUCACGAGGGCUGCACUGUCUCCUCUUUCCAAUCAGUGAAACUGAUCUCCCCGUGAAGAAGCGGGGAUUUUUUUAUAAGACGAGAAGACCCCAUGGAGCUUAAAACUUAACACGCACCUCUAUUUUACCACACCAAUUAACCAUAAAAGUCUGUGUGCCAGUUUUAGGUUGGGGGGACCGCGGAGUAAAACUUAACCUCCACGACAAACGGGCCAACGCCCUUAUCCAUGAAACACAAUUCUAAGAAUCAAAAAUCUGAUGUUUUAUGACCCGAUUAGUCGAUCAACGAACCAAGUUACCCUGGGGAUAACAGCGCAAUCUA